AUAAGCUGAUUGGUUCAUCCGCGUCAUCUAUUCCCGCGCGCAAUGCAUCGGUGCGUCCGGUAACCACAGCUCGUUGUCGGGACGAUUCGCGAGCGUGUCGAGAUGCCGGUGCUCCUUUCUCGAAAGGCGGGUGAUGCCGAUUUUGCCCGGAGAUCGAAGGGACGAACGUAGGUGAGGCGUGUAACGAUUCUCGUCUUCGUCGAUUUAAGUGAAUCUCGGUCGAAUAGCUUCACCGGCUUCGUGACGCGCGACUUUCCUUUCUUCUCCUCCUCCUUCCCUUCUGCCUUUUCCCCCUCGCCCGCGGCGUGUGGAGUGACGACCGAAAGUGACGAGAAAGAACGCGGCAAUAUCGUUAAUAAUACGUUUACGACUUCUUUGAGAUCACGACGUUCUAAACGCGUUGCACGUAUGACGUGAAAACUUGGAUCGCACGUUCUCGAACGGUCCAUCGUGUCUUGAUCAGUGGUGGUCUAAUUGGCGCCAAACGUACGGAGUGAAGUUGCCGGUAGCGACGCUGUACUUUCGUACUUGUCGACCAUUACGGAAACGUUACUGUGUCGAUUACCCGGAUCGGUAGCUUCGUGUGGUCAGUUACAAUCGUAAUUGACCUUGUCCAUUUCGUACGUCGGAAUCACCUGCCAUCGUUCGCGUCUCGUCUCGUCCCGAAACGUAUGUUGGUGUAUGUGUGUGUGUGUCGCUCGACAAACGUGUGCGGACGCUGUGCGAAUCGCGGUGAAUCGUUCUGUCGUUACUUCGUUUUUUUGUCUCUUCUCGCGUUGUUCACUUUUGUUGUGAUUUAAGUACGUCGUCAAUACCGGGAGUGACGCCAAGUGACGCGCGAUCGUCUUGCAAUUAGCGCGAGUGUCAAUCAUGCGCGGCAACGCGUCCGUGGAAAAGAGGUUAAGUACUUCCGCGAGUGUAAGGUGACAUCGAGGGUAUCCGAGAGAUGGAGGAGGAGGAGGCCUGGGAAAGGCAUCGGGCGACAGCGGAGCAACCCUGAGGCCAAUGUAGUUAAAACUCUGCUGUUACGUGUCGUAUCGGCCAAUGUAGUUAAAACUCUGCUGUUGCGCGUCGUAUCGGUGAGUCACAAAUUGCUUUUUUAUUUAAAUAAUAAUAGAGGAAUACAAGAUAAAAGUACAAAUAAACAUUUUGUACACUUAUAGUGUACAAUUACCAUUAUUCAAAGAAGCAUUUAUUUUAAUCUAGCAUUUUUUUUCUCAGUGCAUAAUAAACACAAUAAUACGUUUCGCAUUCUAUCUUUAAUUUUUUACUUGAUUUUUUGUUUAUAAUUGCAUUGUUCUUACUGACAUUCAUACCACGAACUCUAUAUAUUCUAUCACUUGAUAACUUAUUUUUAUUUUGAUACAACUAACAAAGUGAAGAUUUUCUUACAUUAUAUAUUUUUUUCCAUCAAUAUUUACAUCUAAAAAUAAACCUUUAUUAUUUUCCGUAUAAUUAGUCGUAUAAUCUCUUAAAUUUAAUUCUAUUUGAUUUUUAAAUAUUAAAAUCAGUUUGUGGUUCUUUGAAAUCUUCCUUGAAAUCUUCAUUAAAUUCAAUAUUAUUAUUUGGUAUUCUUUUAAUAAAUUAUAUAGCAGAGAAAUUAGCGCGUUAUUGUAGCAGCGUGUUAGCUGUGCGCCUGCAAGUGAAAAUCGAUACCCUUCUAUGGGAAGCCAAAGAAACCAGUAUUUGAAGGAAAACGAUUUUGUAUUGUACCCACGUUGUAACGUUUGCAAUGCGGCACGCGCCACCCCUGCCACGUGCCAGCCAAUCUAAAUCUAAUAACACAAACAGCCUCACAAUACAUGCAUCAUAUAUGCCAGGGUUUGGCGGUAGGAUGUAAUGGGACACCAUGUGAACUAAUCGCUCUGGAGUGGUCCUUCAGAUCUUGUUUCGCUAUUUGUUGAUCCCGACCUAUUCUCUCUUUUUCUCUCGGGACAAAUAGGUUCCCAGCUGAGUUUGACGAUCAACAUAUUAUGCAAAAUAAUUUCUGUUUUCUUUUUCACAAUUACAUUGUACGACACAUUAAUUUUUUUAAAUAUUUGAUAUAUACAUAUUAAUAUAGGAAAUACAACA